rnacentral:rRNA from 2 species
UAGUGGCGAACGGGUGAGUAACACGUGGGCAAUCUGCCCUUCACUCUGGGACAAGCCCUGGAAACGGGGUCUAAUACCGGAUACAACCACUGACCGCAUGGUCGGGUGGUGGAAAGCUCCGGCGGUGAAGGAUGAGCCCGCGGCCUAUCAGCUUGUUGGUGAGGUAAUGGCUCACCAAGGCGACGACGGGUAGCCGGCCUGAGAGGGCGACCGGCCACACUGGGACUGAGACACGGCCCAGACUCCUACGGGAGGCAGCAGUGGGGAAUAUUGCACAAUGGGCGAAAGCCUGAUGCAGCGACGCCGCGUGAGGGAUGACGGCCUUCGGGUUGUAAACCUCUUUCAGCAGGGAAGAAGCGAAAGUGACGGUACCUGCAGAAGAAGCGCCGGCUAACUACGUGCCAGCAGCCGCGGUAAUACGUAGGGCGCAAGCGUUGUCCGGAAUUAUUGGGCGUAAAGAGCUCGUAGGCGGCUUGUCACGUCGAUUGUGAAAGCCCGGGGCUUAACUCCGGGUCUGCAGUCGAUACGGGCUAGCUAGAGUGUGGUAGGGGAGAUCGGAAUUCCU